UGAGAAUGGACUGUAAAGUUUAUGUGGGCAACCUAGGCAACAACGCGGCAAAGCAUGAGCUGGAGUCUGCGUUCUCUAAAUACGGGCCCUUAGUCAAUGUGUGGGUCGCCCGGAACCCCCCUGGGUUUGCAUUUGUGGAGUUUGAAGACCCAAGAGAUGCAGAGGAUGCUGUGCGUGCCCUUGAUGGAACGCGCCUGUGUGGUGUGCGUGUAAGAGUUGAAAUGUCCACUGGCCGUUCUCGCCGCGACCGGUACCGCUCCCCCCCCAGAAGAGGCAGAAGAUCCAGGACUAUCUCGCCCAAAUUACUUCUUGUUCCACCACCACCAUCUACUCCUCCUACUGUUGCUACCACACCACCACCACCAACUCCACCACAACCACCACCACCACCACAAGUACUUCCACCACCACCACCACCACCACCACUGCUAGCAUCAGCGUCAGCCUGCUUGUACAGUGGACUUCCAGUUUUGGGUUGUAGGGGUAGAUGGGGCGCCUCAUUGUGGGCGUCCCUCCCACUCAUCACCUUGUACCUCACUGGGAAUGCAACUUGAUGUAUGUCACAUAUUGGAUCAAGUAACUUUCCUAGAUGGUGAAGUAUGAUAGUGUUUUUAUAACUCUCUUGUGCUUCAUUAAUCUUAGGAUGGUAUUGUGUACCAGUGUUGGUAGGGUGGUGGGCCCUGAUCAGCCAAGGCAUGGCGGCGGUGGUGGUGCGCGGCACGUUGCCUGAUGGCCCUCCUACGGCGCGGCACCUCGCGGCACCCGGGCAGCCCUUAUGCGCUUCACGUGUCCUCUUCUCCCCGCCCGUCUACGUCUACCCUCCGCCCACUGCCCGCCCAACGCCCGCCCGCUGCCUGCGCACCGUCAGGCCUGCCCCCCCACCCACCAUCUUGGGUCUCUGACCCUCCAACGUUUGCUCCACUUUCUUACAUUCAUCGCGCCUCGACUCAUCAUAACGACUACCCUGCUGUGACGAUCCCGCUCCCCUCGGCGGUGGGGUGGCCGAUCACGGUCUAGGACCCCCAGGCGAACCAGGUCUCGAUCCCCAAGGUCUGUUUCGAGAUCACCAAGGUACGAUGACUACCGCCGCAGAAGUGAUUCUCCAGACUUUAAAAG